rnacentral:pre_miRNA from 1 species
UCACCUCUGCAGGCUGGCGGCCCCACCCUGGGCUGGGCGAGUACCUCUUCCAAAGGCUCACCCUCCAGCACCACUAGGAGC